rnacentral:rRNA from 1 species
CCUACGGGUGGCAGCAGUGAGGAAUAUUGGUCAAUGGAAGAGAGUCUGAACCAGCCAAGUAGCGUGAAGGAUGACUGCCCUAUGGGUUGUAAACUUCUUUUAUAUGGGAAUAAAAUGUUCCACGUGUGGGAUUUUGUAUGUACCAUAUGAAUAAGGAUCGGCUAACUCCGUGCCAGCAGCCGCGGUAAUACGGAGGAUCCGAGCGUUAUCCGGAUUUAUUGGGUUUAAAGGGAGCGUAGGUGGAUUGUUAAGUCAGUUGUGAAAGUUUGCGGCUCAACCAUAAAAUUGCAGUUGAAACUGGCAGUCUUGAGUACAGUAGAGGUGGGCGGAAUUCGUGGUGUAGCGGUGAAAUGCUUAGAUAUCACGAAGAACUCCGAUUGCGAAGGCAGUUCACUGGACUGCAACUGACACUGAGGCUCGAAAGUGUGGGUAUCAAACAGGAUUAGAUACCCGGGUAGUC